AUUGAACGCUGGCGGCAGGCCUAACACAUGCAAGUCGAGCGGAUGAAGGGAGCUUGCUCCUGGAUUCAGCGGCGGACGGGUGAGUAAUGCCUAGGAAUCUGCCUGGUAGUGGGGGAUAACGUCCGGAAACGGGCGCUAAUACCGCAUACGUCCUGAGGGAGAAAGGGGGGGAUCUUCGGACCUCACGCUAUCAGAUGAGCCUAGGUCGGAUUAGCUAGUUGGUGGGGUAAAGGCCUACCAAGGCGACGAUCCGUAACUGGUCUGAGAGGAUGAUCAGUCACACUGGAACUGAGACACGGUCCAGACUCCUACGGGAGGCAGCAGUGGGGAAUAUUGGACAAUGGGCGAAAGCCUGAUCCAGCCAUGCCGCGUGUGUGAAGAAGGUCUUCGGAUUGUAAAGCACUUUAAGUUGGGGGGAAGGGCAGUAAGUUAAUACCUUGCUGUUUUGACGUUACCAACAGAAUAAGCACCGGCUAACUUCGUG
rnacentral:rRNA from 1 species